GAGGAAUAUUGGUCAAUGGACGGAAGUCUGAACCAGCCAAGUAGCGUGCAGGAUGACGGCCCUAUGGGUUGUAAACUGCUUUUGUAUGGGGAUAAAGUUAGGGACGUGUCCCUAUUUGCAGGUACCAUACGAAUAAGGACCGGCUAAUUCCGUGCCAGCAGCCGCGGUAAUGCGGAAGGUCCAGGCGUUAUCCGGAUUUAUUGGGUUUAAAGGGAGCGUAGGCUGGAGAUUAAGUGUGUUGUGAAAUGUAGACGCUCAACGUCUGAAUUGCAGCGCAUACUGGUUUCCUUGAGUACGCACAACGUUGGCGGAAUUCGUCGUGUAGCGGUGAAAUGCUUAGAUAUGACGAAGAACUCCGAUUGCGAAGGCAGCUGACGGGAGCGCAACUGACGCUUAAGCUCGAAGGUGCGGGUAUCAAACAGGAUUAGAUACCCUGGUAGUCCGCACAGUAAACGAUGGAUGCCCGCUGUUGGUACCUGGUAUCAGCGGCUAAGCGAAAGCAUUAAGCAUCCCACCUGGGGAGUACGCCGGCAACGGUG
rnacentral:rRNA from 1 species